CGUUAGAGUCAUUCGCCCUCGACUCAACCCGAAUUCAUCGAUGAGUCGCACACACGCAAGGCUUGCCUCCGCCGUCGAGCGCCCGCCCCGCUCUAGGGUUUCCCCCUCCCCCCUCUCCGACAACGACCGCCGCCGCUCCCGAUCCCGGACCCCUCCGCCUCGCUCCCGUAGCCCCGACUACCGCCGCGGCGGCCACCGUUGGUCACCCUACCGCGAUGGCCCGAUACGGAACGGGAAGCCACCGGGCCGCGGAGACGACGACGACGACGACGACGAUGAGGAGCUCAAGGGCCUGAGCUACUUCGAGUACCGGCGCCUCAAGCGUCAGCAGCUGCGGAAGAAGCUCAAGAAUUGCAUCUGGAGGGUGACCCCUAGCCCUCCGAGGAGCGAGAGGGAGCAAUUGGAACCGCUCGAUGAGUCUGAUGGCGCCAUAGUCGCGUCUCCUGAGGAGGAGGAGGAAGCUGAGGGCAAAGGGCGAAGGGAUCGGAGUAGGAACUCCGAGGCCGACGGUUCGGAUAGGAGCCCUUCCGAUUCAGCUCCAGAUGAUUCCGAAUCCGAAUCGAGGAGCCCUCCUUCGUCGAGGAGGCGAAGAAGGGAGAGGAGGAGCAAAAGAGGGAGAAGCAGCCGGAAGAAGAGGUACUCUGAUUCAGAUGACGGAAAAGGCUCUUCCUACGAGGACGAUUCGAGCGAGGAGGCACCAGAGCGCUCGAGCGACCAGAGCGAAGAUGAGGAGGACAGAAAGCGGAGGAGGAGGAAGUCAGGAACGCGGCAGACGAAGUCGAAGAAGAGCGAGAGGAGUAACAGGAGGAAGAGAACGAAGAGCAGGGCAACAAGCUCGGAUGAUAGCGAGGACGAGUCCGAUUCUAGCCCUAUACCCAGGGGAAAGGCCUUACGAAAGAGCAAGAAACGGUCUAAGAAGUCUGACACACCCUCGGAUUCGGAAGCUGAUGACGGGCCUGCUGAUGCCAAGAAGCCCGAAGUUGAUCCUGAGGCUCUCAAGUUUAAGGAGAUGAUCGAAUCACAGAAGAAGCUUGCUUUAGACAAUGAGCCUUUUGUUGGGCCGGCACCUCUCCCACGUGCUGAGGGACAUAUCAGCUAUGGUGGUGCGCUGAGGCCUGGAGAAGGUGAUGCUAUUGCCCAAUAUGUGCAACAAGGGAAGCGUAUUCCAAGGAGAGGAGAGGUCGGGCUGUCCGCAGAGGAGAUACAGAAGUUUGAGGACUUGGGAUAUGUUAUGAGUGGCAGCAGGCAUCAGAGGAUGAAUGCCAUCCGUAUCAGAAAAGAAAACCAGGUUUACAGUGCUGAAGACAAGAGGGCACUCGCUAUGUUCAACUAUGAAGAGAAGGCAAAGAGAGAGCACAAAGUGAUGGCUGAUCUGCAGAGGUUGGUCCACCGCCAUAUCGGCCAGGAUGUGGGCCCAACUCACGACCCAUUUGCACCAAAGACUUCUGAUGCAGCUGAUGAUUGAAUCCAGUAUAAAUGUGUUUUCCUACAAUGAUCCCCAUAGGUGAUCCAUGCUCAAGGCUAAACCUGGUCAAGAUCAUGUAUAAGAUAAUUGAGGAAUGAGUGAUCAUUAAAGAGAGAAGAUAGAAGGCAUUAAAUUAUAAAACUUGUUCAUCGUCACCACUCUGAAUCUCUCAAUCAGUUUACAAAGUCAUAUAUAGAAAGAUCACGCAUUUGUACUGAAGAAUUAAGUUGAACUUUCUUGUAUACUUAGCAUCACCAUACAAGCUUGGUUUUUAUUUUCUUAAAGA